AAAGCAGGGGUAUCAAGGAAGAGGCCGGGCUGCGCUCUAGUCAGCGAGCUGUGGAGCGCCUCUGCAUGCUGUGAAAAGGUGCCCCGUGGCCACCUGGCUGGUGUCUUCUAGGUGUCUUGGGUUGCCAUCAGGCCUGGCUGGUGAAAUCA